UGGUGCUGCGCAUGAAUGGAUUAACGAGAUGCCCACUGUCCAUGAUUACAAUCUGG
rnacentral:rRNA from 1 species